GCCCAGGUGGUGAAAUUGGUAGACGCAGGGGACUCAAAAUCCCCCGCCGCAAGGCGUGCCGGUUCGAUUCCGGCCCUGGGCA
rfam:Burkholderia multivorans ATCC 17616 DNA, complete genome, chromosome 1.